UAGGGAAUCUUCGGCAAUGGGGGCAACCCUGACCGAGCAACGCCGCGUGAGUGAAGAAGGUUUUCGGAUCGUAAAGCUCUGUUGUAAGAGAAGAACGUGUGUGAGAGUGGAAAGUUCACACAGUGACGGUAACUUACCAGAAAGGGACGGCUAACUACGUGCCAGCAGCCGCGGUAAUACGUAGGUCCCGAGCGUUGUCUGGAUUUAUUGGGCGUAAAGCGAGCGCAGGCGGUUUAAUAAGUCUGAAGUUAAAGGCAGUGGCUUAACCAUUGUUCGCUUUGGAAACUGUUAAACUUGAGUGCAGAAGGGGAGAGUGGAAUUCCAUGUGUAGCGGUGAAAUGCGUAGAUAUAUGGAGGAACACCGGUGGCGAAAGCGGCUCUCUGGUCUGUAACUGACGCUGAGGCUCGAAAGCGUGGGGAGCAAACAGG
rnacentral:rRNA from 1 species